rnacentral:rRNA from 1 species
GACGAGCGCUGGCGGCGUGCUUAACACAUGCAAGUCGAACGGAAAGGCCUCUUCGGAGGUACUCGAGUGGCGAACGGGUGAGUAACACGUGGGCAAUCUGCCCUGCACUUCGGGAUAAGCCUGGGAAACUGGGUCUAAUACCGGAUAGGACCUCAAGACGCAUGUCUUCUGGUGGAAAGCUUUUGCGGUGUGGGAUGGGCCCGCGGCCUAUCAGCUUGUUGGUGGGGUGACGGCCUACCAAGGCGACGACGGGUAGCCGGCCUGAGAGGGUGUCCGGCCACACUGGGACUGAGAUACGGCCCAGACCCCUACGGGAGGCAGCAGUGGGGAAUAUUGCACAAUGGGCGCAAGCCUGAUGCAGCGACGCCGCGUGGGGGAUGACGGCCUUCGGGUUGUAAACCUCUUUCACCAUCGACGAAGGUCCGGGUUUUCUCGGAUUGACGGUAGGUGGAGAAGAAGCACCGGCCAACUACGUGCCAGCAGCCGCGGUAA